AUGCAGUGGAAAAACACCAGUUGUGAUAUUCUUGAAGCAAAGCUUCGUCCAGUGUAUCUUUAUCCGAUAGUAUGCGUUUUCAAGACGGGAAGUUCCAGCUGCAGAUUUAAGACACAUUGAAGUGUUGAGUGACACUCAGAUGGAAUCUACAGCAACAUUAGACUACAGUCUGUGAUGAUAUCCGAUUCUAUGAGACCUGAGUCUGUUUGUGAAAAUGGUGGCCAACGACCAUAUCAUAAGGCGAAGUACUGAGAACUGCACAGACUAAAUGGAUUACUUUAGGAAUCAAGAAGACAACAUUUUGACAAUGCAUAAAAGAUUCUACGCAAAUAAUUUUUAUCAAACUGUCCUUGAAAAUACAUCGUUUUUAUUUAAUUUUACUUUUCUGCAAAUUCUUCUCCAUAAUUAAAAUAAACGUUAAAAUUGA